AAAAACCUUUCCACAGACCAGUGAAGCAAGAUGCUCUGGUCUGGCCAUGACAGAAGUGUUCUACUUUCCUCCAUUUGGGCCACUCCGCUGGUUUGAACUAAGCUUAAAGAAUGAAAAGUGGAGCUUGCUCAGGAAAAUCACUCACAUCCAUCAUGUGACAAGGAGAUUCAAAACUCUUCUUUCCUUGGAUAGAACAGGAAGGACCAUCA
rnacentral:lncRNA from 1 species